ACACACAAAUACACAUGCUUGCAGCUCAGGGGCCUACCAGGCGAAAGUAGACAGAAGCAAAGGCAGGGACUCAGCUGGGCACACUCAGCAGCAUACAGAUCGGAGACAAACUCACUUGAGGCUUUGAAUCCUGAUGCUUACAGAGGACCUUUUUGAGUUUUAGACCUUGGGAGUGAGGACAGUUUGGGAAAGUGAGGACGAUUUUUAGUCCGGUCCUCUCAACUUUAAAGGGCUGUUUGAGGUUUGUGCGUGAUUCACACUCCUUCUGAAGAAACCUCGAGACUCCUCAACCGAUGACUUCUCCAUGUGCUUGGACUAUGCUGCACUGAAGACCUUGUGACACCAGUUUAGCUUCCUGUCUUGGUGAAUGGUGAGGCGGCGUGGACCAAUGGGAGGGCAGCGGUGAGGAUGCAACAGUGAUCCAGGAAAAAACAGCCCAUUGUUCCUGGGACGUCGGAGAAGUGUGACCUCCCUCCUGCCG